rnacentral:rRNA from 1 species
UACACACGCCCGUCAACACCAUGGAGCGGUUUCACCAGAAGUAGCUAGCCUAACCUGCAAAGGAGGCGGUUACCACGGUGAGAUUCGUGACUGGGGUG